AUGGAACUGAGCCUGAGGUAUCUGUGAUGUAUGCAUAUUAACCAAUAUCAUAAUUCUAAAAAGGUGCUGAGCUUUGAAAUAUGUUCUGUGCUCAACCUGGAGAUACAAAGACAAAUGAACCCUGAUGAUUAGGCCUUUCCUACAAGAGCUUCCUUCCUGGUAGGGAAGAAAGAUCACUUCUCCUUGCUGCUGACAUGGGAAGAAAGUGUUGUGUCCUCUUCUGCCAUGAUUAUAAGUUUCCUGAGACCUCUCCAGCCC
rnacentral:lncRNA from 1 species